AGAGUUUGAUCAUGGCUCAGAUUGAACGCUGGCGGCAGGCCUAACACAUGCAAGUCGAACGGUAACAUUUCUAGCUUGCUAGAAGAUGACGAGUGGCGGACGGGUGAGUAAUGCUUGGGAACUUGCCUUUGCGAGGGGGAUAACAGUUGGAAACGACUGCUAAUACCGCAUAACGUCUACGGACCAAACGGGGCUUAGGCUCCGGCGCAAAGAGAGGCCCAAGUGAGAUUAGCUAGUUGGUAAGGUAAUGGCUUACCAAGGCAACGAUCUCUAGCUGUUCUGAGAGGAAGAUCAGCCACACUGGAACUGAGACACGGUCCAGACUCCUACGGGAGGCAGCAGUGGGGAAUAUUGCACAAUGGGGGAAACCCUGAUGCAGCCAUGCCGCGUGUGUGAAGAAGGCCUUCGGGUUGUAAAGCACUUUCAGUUGUGAGGAAAAGUUAGUAGUUAAUACCUGCUAGCCGUGACGUUAACAACAGAAGAAGCACCGGCUAACUCCGUGCCAGCAGCCGCGGUAAUACGGAGGGUGCGAGCGUUAAUCGGAAUUACUGGGCGUAAAGCGCACGCAGGCGGUUUGUUAAGCUAGAUGUGAAAGCCCCGGGCUCAACCUGGGAUAGUCAUUUAGAACUGGCAGACUAGAGUCUUGGAGAGGGGAGUGGAAUUCCAGGUGUAGCGGUGAAAUGCGUAGAUAUCUGGAGGAACAUCAGUGGCGAAGGCGACUCCCUGGCCAAAGACUGACGCUCAUGUGC
rnacentral:rRNA from 1 species